UACAGAGGGUGCAAGCGUUAAUCGGAAUUACUGGGCGUAAAGCGUGUGUAGGUGGUUUGUUAAGUCAGGUGUGAAAUCCCUGGGCUCAACCUAGGAAUUGCAUUUGAUACUGACAAGCUUGAGUGUGGUAGAGGAUGGUGGAAUUCCCGGUGUAGCGGUGAAAUGCGUAGAUAUCGGGGAGGAACAUCAGUGGCGAAGGCGGCCAUCUGGACUAACACUGACACUGAGACACGAAAGCGUGGGGAGCAAACAGGA
rnacentral:rRNA from 1 species